ACAUUUUUCCUAUUAUAGAGUUACAAACAUUUACAAAGUAUAUAAUACAUAUAUCUUUUUAGUGACGAAUAAAAUAUAUAAAGAAAUAAUAAUCCGGAGUGAAAAUAGAGAUAACGACGAAAAAAAAUUAGUAUAAAAAAAUUCAGUCAUCUUUUGAUAUCUUUUUGUAAGAUUAAAGGUCGAUGUCGAUGCGUUACCGCGUAUAUUUCCCUCUCCACGACACCAAUGUGAUGAUUUGGAAGGAAUACCAUGAAUUGCAAUUAUUUGAAUGAUGUUUUAGAUUUUAAGCUCGGCUUUUAGUAGGUACUUAAGAGUUAUGGAGACGCAUAACUUGAUGGAGUUGUUGGGUUUUUGGAGGUUAUUUCUCUUAGAAUUCAUAAUUCUGGUAAUCGUCUUUGGGACGGUUAUUAAACAAACGGUUCGCAAUACCGUAGCUGUUUAAGAAUACAGAAAAAAAGGCGGCUCAAGGAAAGUACCUACCAUUAAAGACCAUAACUAUGUCACCUUGUCGGGGACAAUGUGUAGAAGAAAAAAAAUAUUUAUUAUAUAAACAACUAAUAAAAAUGAUUAUAAAUAUUUGCUAGAACAUUUUGUCAACACCUUCAAAGUACCUCUUUUCAUUAUGUUUUCAAAAGAUAUGAAUAUGAUGUAUAAUUCACAAAAACAACUACUAAAUACAAUGCCUUGAUUAAU